CAUUUUGUUCCAGCAGCGGUGGGUAGAGUUUUCUUUUUAGUAUUUUUCCCCGCGCGAUGGUGCUUUUGUCUGAGGCACGGAAUCCUCAUGCAUGGGUUCCCCAUGGCCACUCCCCAGCGUGGAGCAACGGGAGAGGUUCUGGUUUUGGGUGACCCCCAUGAAGUGACCACAAUGACCCAACCUGAGCCACCGGAGCUGGGGAUCCCCCAUGGGCCUGGAUUCCAUCCAGCUCUGCCCCCCCGGGGGUCCUAAAUGGGGAGACCCCCUGCCCCACAUGGGGGAGUUUAGGGGGGUCGUGAAUCCCAAUUCCUGAAUUUUGGGAAAGAUUCCAGGUAACUCCAGACCCAGAACACACCUGGGCCCAGGUAUGUAAAUGAGGGGGCGUGGCUUCACCGAUGACAUCACAGAUGAUGUCAUUCCCCAUUGAGGGACCCCCAAUUUUGGUGAUGAUGUCACUAGCUCACUUUGACCCCCCUGAAAACACCCGAACACCUGAAAAAUUGGGGUGGGGGUCCCCAGGGGAGGGUCCUGAGGGGGAGGGGCCAUCCUGACACCCCUCCCCCUCUCUGUCCCACAGGUGCUGCAGGU